rnacentral:rRNA from 1 species
UACGUAGGGGGCAAGCGUUGUCCGGAUUUACUGGGCGUAAAGAGCGUGUAGGCGGCCACGCAGGUCCGUUGUGAAAACUGGAGGCUCAACUUCCAGCCGUCGACGGAAACCGUGUGGCUAGAGUCCGGAAGAGGAGAGUGGAAUUCCUGGUGUAGCGGUGAAAUGCGCAGAUAUCAGGAAGAACACCAAUGGCGAAGGCAGCUCUCUGGGACGGUACUGACGCUGAGACGCGAAAAGCGUGGGGAGCGAACAGG